GGGUUUCCCCGCCCGCCGUAACGCAGGAUUACCAAGUUGCAGAUAUCAACUGCGAUUUCAGUGGCGACCCUAGCGGCCUGGGCCAGGAGAGGCUCUCGGCGCGGCUCAAGAAGCCCCCGGCCUUCAAGGGGCACCCGCUCUUCGCCGACGACAGGAGGGCCGACCCCUUCAGCGACGACGAGUGCCAGAUCCGCCAAGACGAGGGCGACGGCCCGGGCGGGUUUA